CUGCAAUGAAGGAAGAGCUGGACAGAGAAGUGGAAGAUUUUGCUAGGAGAUUGAACUCUGAUUGGCCUGAGAGAAUGCAAGAAAUUUUAUCUUUAAGCCAAGAAAGAAGGGCUGUUCCAAAUUUAAUGAAUGGGAAUGGGUCCCUUCAAAGAUACACAGGGAACCGGCGGCAGUAAUGUUGGCAUGUGACAUAUACAUAAAAGGGUUGGACAGGAGAUAAAUUAUUAGGCUGAAAUUUGGCACCAUUGGAUUUCGCCUGAUUCAUACAUGGAUGCAUCUGAUUUGGCG